AACGAACGCUGGCGGCAGGCCUAACACAUGCAAGUCGAACGCUCGUAGCAAUACGAGAGUGGCAGACGGGUGAGUAACACGUGGGAACCUUCCCUAUGGUUCGGAAUAGCUCAGGGAAACUUGAGGUAAUACCGGAUAAGCCCUUACGGGGAAAGAUUUAUCGCCAUUGGAUGGGCCCGCGUCGGAUUAGCUAGUUGGUGAGGUAACGGCUCACCAAGGCGACGAUCCGUAGCUGGCUGAGAGGAUGAUCAGCCACACUGGGACUGAGACACGGCCCAGACUCCUACGGGAGGCAGCAGUGGGGAAUAUUGGACAAUGGGCGCAAGCCUGAUCCAGCCAUGCCGCGUGAGUGACGAAGGCCUUAGGG
rnacentral:rRNA from 1 species